AAAUGUGAUUGAGUUGUGGAAAUGAUGAAAUGUUGAAGUUAAACCCAUGAAAUUUGAUUGAAUUGUGUGAAUAAUGAAAAUGUUGUUGUUAAACCCAUGUAAUUUGAUUGAAUUAUGUGAAUGAUGAAUAUUUUGUUGUUAAACCCAUAAGAUUUGAUUGAAUUGUUUGAAUGAUGACAAUUUUGUUGUUAAACCCAUGAAAUUUGAUUAAAUUGUGUGAAUGAUGAUAAUGUUGUUGUUAAACCCAUGAAAUUUGAUUGAAUUGUGGGAAUGAUGAAAAAAUAUGAUGUUAAACCCAUGAAAUUUGAUUGAAUUGUGGGAAUGAUGAAAAUGUUGAUGUUAAACCCAUGAAAUUUGAUUGAAUUGUGGGAAUGAUGAAAAUGAUGGUGUUAAACCCAUGAAAUUUGAUUGAAUUAUGGGAAUGAUAAAAAAUUUGUUGUUAAACCCAU
rnacentral:lncRNA from 1 species